rnacentral:ncRNA from 1 species
GCUAUGAAUGGGCAAACCCAUUGAAAGGUGGGGACGCAAAGCCACGGGCCUACGGUAUCAAGAGUGAUACUACGGUAGCCGGGUUGCCAAC